rnacentral:rRNA from 1 species
CCUACGGUGGACAGCAGUGGGGAAUAUUGCUCAAUGGGGGAAACCCUGAUGCAGCGCCGCCGCGUGAGGGAAGAAGUAAUUCGUUAUUUACAGCUCUAUCAGCAUGGAAGAAACACUGACCUUACGGACAGCAGACGGUACCUGAGUAAGGAGCCACGUCUAACUAAGUGCCAGUACACGCGGUAGUACGUAGGGGGCAUGCGUUAUAAGGAGUUAUUGGGUGUAAAGGGAGCGUAGACGGGGCGCCAUGUUUGCAGGGAAAUGCCGCGUCUUAACUGCGGAAUUGCUGUGGAAACUGGCGACCUUGAGUGCGGGAGGGGAAGGCGGAAUUCCUGGGGUAGCGGUGAAAUGCGUAGAUAUUAGGAAGAACACCGAUGGCGAAGGCGGCUUGCUGGACCGUAACUGACGUUGAGGCUCGAAAGCGUGGGGAGCAAACAGGAUUAGAUACCCGUGUAGUC